AAUAUUAUUUUCUCUCAUUUCUAUAUUAAUGGCAGAAGAAACUCUGGACGAAUGCUUGAAAAGAUGCUCUCUUGCUCCUGAUAAAUACAAACGGGAGGGAUGCGAAUGGGAUUGCCAUGAUAGAUUGGGAGGGUGAGUAUAAAU